CAACCCUCGAAGCCCCUUCGGGGGCAUCGGUGUUGGGGACCGGCCCCGCCCCUCCGCGGGCUCACGCCGCCCCCUAAAUACAUUGGCGGUCUCGCCGCAGCCUCCUCUGCGUAGUAGCUCUUAUGAAACCUCGCACCGGAGCGCGGCCUGGCCACGCCGUAAAACCCCAACUUUCUGAAA
rnacentral:misc_RNA from 1 species